CUGUGGAUCCCAGUGCCUGCAGCCCCAGGGGACGUUUCUCUGUGACCUCUGUGUCACUACCAUGAGUGGCCAGUCGCCUUAGUACCCAAGAGACAGCCACAGAAGUCUCCAGGGCCACUAGAGAGACAGGCAGGGACAAUCCAGCUUAAAGGUGGAACCUCUGGUCCAGACGUCCUCCGCGGGAAGCCAGGCGAUGUUAGGGCAAGGCCUCCGCGGAGAGCACACGUGGAUGGGGAGGAGGCCGGAGGAGGGUUGGAAGGGAGAAGGUGGCGCAGGGGGUACCGGUAUGUCGCCCAGGUGCGAAGCGCGAGGACCCGGCAGGACGCGCGUCCCUGCACCGUCUCCCCGCAGGCGGCGCCAGAGCGCUAGCCCGCGGGUGACUCGGGUCCUGGAGUCCGGCCGGGCGGGGCGAGGGGCGGGCCCGGCGUCUCGGGGCGCUAGAGCGCGGCGACACUCACGCCGCGGGAAGGACGGACGGACGGACGCGCCGCCGCCCCCUCCGCAGCCAUGGCCGAGCACGUCGCCCGCCGCUGCUGCCUCGGCUGGGACUUCAGCACGCAGCAGGUGAAAGUUGUUGCUGUUGACGCAGAGCUGAAUGUGUUCUAUGAGGACAGUGCGCAUUUUGACAGAGACCUUCUAGAAUUCGGGACUCAGGGUGGAGUUCACGUUCAUGAGGAGGGGCUGACAGUGACAUCUCCAGUCCUGAUGUGGGUCCGGGCUUUGGAUAUCAUCUUGGAGAGGAUGAAGGCCUCGGGCUUUGACUUCUCUCAAGUCCUCGCCCUGUCUGGGGCCGGCCAGCAACAUGGAAGUGUAUACUGGAAGGCUGGGGCCAGCCAGGUGCUGAGAAGCCUGUCACCAGACCUCCCGUUACAUAAGCAGCUGCAGGCCUGUUUCUCCAUCAGCGACAGCCCGGUGUGGAUGGACUCCAGCACCACAGCCCAGUGUCGCCAGCUGGAGGCCGCGGUGGGCGGCGCCCAGGCUCUCAGCUGCCUCACAGGCUCCCGGGCCUACGAGCGGUUUACGGGAAACCAGAUCGCGAAGAUUUACCAGCAGAACCCCGAGGCCUACUCACACACGGAGAGAAUUUCUUUGGUCAGUAGCUUUGCUGCCUCCCUGUUCCUUGGGUCUUACUCUCCUAUCGACUGCAGUGAUGGUUCUGGAAUGAAUUUGUUGCAGAUCAAGGACAAAGUCUGGUCGCGGGUCUGCCUUGCUGCCUGUGCUCCUCAUUUAGAGGAGAAGCUUGGCUCACCGGUACCGUCCUGCUCCGUUGUGGGAGCCAUUUCUUCCUACUACGUCCAGCGCUAUGGAUUUCCUCCAGGAUGCCAAGUGGUGGCCUUUACUGGGGACAACCCUGCGUCGCUGGCAGGCAUGAGGCUGGAGGAAGGUGACAUUGCGGUCAGCCUGGGCACCAGCGACACCCUAUUUCUCUGGCUCCAGGAGCCCAUGCCCGCCCUGGAAGGGCACAUCUUCUGCAACCCCGUUGGCUCCCAGCACUACAUGGCACUCCUCUGCUUUAAAAAUGGCUCCCUCAUGAGAGAGAAGAUCCGUGAUGAGUCAGCUUCCUGUUCCUGGAGUGAGUUCUCUGAGGCACUGCGGUCCACGGAGAUGGGGAACGGCGGGAACCUGGGUUUUUAUUUUGACGUAAUGGAGAUCACCCCUGAAAUUAUUGGGCGCCAUAGGUUUAGUGCAGAAAACCACAAGGUCCCAGCAUUCCCCAGGGAUGUGGAGAUCCGAGCACUGAUUGAAGGGCAGUUCAUGGCCAAGAGGAUUCAUGCCGAAGGCUUGGGCUACCAAGUCAUGCCCAAGACAAAGAUUUUGGCCACUGGAGGGGCAUCUCACAACAGAGACAUCUUACAGGUACUUGCGGAUGUGUUUGGCGCCCCAGUGUAUGUCAUAGACACUGCCAACUCUGCCUGUGUGGGCUCUGCGUACCGAGCUUUCCAUGGCCUUGCAGCUGGAACAGACGUGCCCUUUUCAGAGGUUGUGAGGUUAGCCCCACCUCCCAGAUUAGCUGCUACCCCAACCCCAGGAGCUUCUCAGGUCUACGAGGCCCUCCUUCCUCGAUACGCCAAGCUUGAGCAGAGAAUCCUGUCGCAGACCCAGGGGCCUCCUGAGAGAAUUCCUCAGGCCCAGGCACCCCUGUUAACCCUGCCUGCUCAGACUCACUGAUCCUGCCUCGAGACGUGCUCCUGGACAACAGGGAUCCUCCUCCUUGUUCUAAGUGACUGUGCCUGCCCACCUUGCACUGCUCCAGUCCUGCCCCGGACCACCUAAACCCAGGGGACUUGUAUGUACAGGGACUUAAAUCAGCAGAACGAGGGAAACAAAGCCAUCCCUCAUCCCUUGACCCCAGCACCCCCUUCUCCAACUCGGACUCUUUGGCCACUCCUCCCCAAACUGUAACCCACAGCCACCCCCGCCCCAUACCGUGACCCCACUAUCCCAUUUCACCACCCCCCCAACCCUGACUCCCUUCUUUCAGUGUCUGAAUGGCCUCCUAGUUUCUUGCUUUCUUGUCUUCCCCAUGCUCACUCCUCCUUCAAGGUUUCUCCCUUCUGUCCUUCCAGCAUCUGCCCCUCAUCCUACAUGAUCUCUUCUUCCUCCCCAUGCCCACCUGCUGAAACUCACUACCUCCCACCCAAAGAGUUUGACACACCUGAUGACCGUGCUUCCUGUCCCCUCCCAUCGGCUCUCCCCACCGGUUGCCUGACUCCCUGGCACACCAGACCACUUGGAGGGCCCCUCUCCCAGGUAGGACAGGGUAGCACCUCCCUCCCUCCGUCCCUUCCUUCAGGGAGAAUUUCUCAAAUUCUGGAUUUUUUGAUUCUAUUUCUGUAGUGUCGUUUGACAUGUUCUCUGUCUUCUGUAUUUCCUGAAGAUUGGUGGUUGGAUCCAAUAGAGAGUUCCUCACCCUCAGUACUAUUGACAUUUGGGACUGGAUAAGUUUUGGGUGUGGGGGGCAGCAGUAUCCCUGGCGUCUACCCGCCAGAUGCCAGUGUCACCCUCUCCCCGAGCCGUGACAAUCCAACAUGUCUCCAGACGUGGCCAGAUACCUCCCGGUGGGGGUGGGAAGGCCAAAUUGCCCCUCGCUCAUAACCACGGACUUAAGAGACUCGAUCAGACACGAUGCAAUUUUCCUUUCGGUGUCAGACAACCAAGACGGUGUUCUUCCAUCAGGAGGCACGUAAUGUCUGGUUUUCUCUCACUGUCGUCAUGUUCAUCCCCAGCUGCAUCAGCUCACUAGGGAUCCAGUUUUGUUACUCCUCUUCAUUUAUGACCUGGCAUUCUUCUAUGUGAGACGUUUCCCAUCCAGGUGCCCAGUGGUGGUGUUUAUAUAGGAGAGGCCGAAUAAAUAGAUUCUUCCCAGUGUUCACUAGUGUUCAAAAUAACGGGUUAGUCCCCAGGCAUCCUCUAACAGCAGCUAGGUAUUUUUUUCAGUGUCAGUCUGAUACAUUUAGCGUAUUUUAUGUGUCUUAAUCCAUUGGGGUAAUUAUUUCUGUCCUUGCCUUCUGUUGUUAGCCAUUCUCUCCAGCUCUUCUGCUUUCCUGACGUUUCAUUCCUUCUUUCCUUACUGAUACUUCUGCUCUGUUUACCCGUUAAUUCCGGCCGGGCCCCAAAUCUCUGUCCUCAUCCUUCUUUCUCACCCAUUCUGUCCUCUGGUUAGAUGAUUUCAUCUAUUCUUGGGUUUCAACCACUGUUUCCAUACCAGGAACAUCCAGAUCUGUGUUUCCAUCCAGAACUCUCCUUGGAGUCUACCAGCAUUCUCACAGGGGUACUUCAGACUCCACUUGUCUUCCCUUGCCCUUCCCCCAACCUCCUCCUCUCAUGUUGCUGUUUGAGUGAAUUGCAAUCACCAUGCAUCCAUGCAUUCAGGAACCCAACCCCCAAAUGCAGAUAUCCUCUCUCUUUCCCACAUCAGAUGAGUCACCAGCGGACUCUAAUGACUCUCCCUUGCUGACUUGGAUGAAGUAAGCUGUCCUAUGGAGAGACCCACAUGGCAGGGAAGUGAGGGCAGUUUCUGGCCAAUAACCAUUCAAUAGUUGAGGCCCUCAGUCCAGCAAUUAACAAGGAGCUGGAUCCUGCUAACAACCACAUGACUUCCCUAGUCAAGCCUCAAAUGAGACCCCCAACUCUGGCCAACAUCUUGAUUAUAGCCUUGUGAGAGGUUUCUGACGCAGAGGACCAGAGGACUCAGGUAAACCGUGCCCAGUUUCUGAACCCACAGAAACUCAUAAUAAAUGGGCGUUGUUUUAGUUUGUGGUGAUAACAGUAGUUAUUUACCGUUACGCAGCAACAGAAAUUCAAAUCAUUCCCCAUCUAUAGAGCAGAGGGACCUGCUCAUACACUCGCAGUAGGAUUUGGCAAUUGCUAUGGGCCAGUGACUGCUAUCUGCUUCCAUCCUGACACUUCCCAAAUGAUAGCUCUUUUGCUCUUAUCUUGUCUCUGUUUUCACCCACUUAUGUUGGCUAUGUGAAAAGCUUAGCCUCUCCUAUAUCUGGUUCAUAUGUCCUUGGCUCAAGCGUAGGCGCAAGCAGACCUUACUUAGAUGGUGAAAUCCUAAACCCGACGGAGAUUUUCGAGGGCUUUGGGAUGGGAAUGUGCAUACUUUGCAUGUGGAAAUGAUGUGUUUAACUGCGGCCAGGAGGAAAAACUGAGACAGCUGCCGAAAUGGCCCCACGUUUCUCAUGGUGUCCGCAUACUUUGUUGCACGGCUUUGCCACGCUCUCCCAUUCUGAGUGGGAUUGGUUGUGUAACUUGGCCUUGGCCUCAUCAGUAAAUGGGAUGCAAGCUGAGGCUCGAAAUGACUUGCCUGAGUGAGCCUUCUCUUUCUUGUAAGAGCAGCGUUACUGCGAUAAGAAGGUGACGAGCACGUGGGACCAGAGCCUGGUUCUUCCACGUGCUCCCAGCCAACAACUGGUUGAACUGCAGUUGUGUAAGUUAGCCCAGCCGAUGUCGGAAGCACCUCAGUCACAUGAGUAAUAAACCUUUUAGUGCUGUAAGCCUCAGGCUUUCUGGUUGCUUGUUAGGCAGCGUGAUUUUAACAGUAGUUAACAGCUACAAUGCCCAACCUCAUAAAGAUAAAACAAAAUAAGAAACUACAUAUCAAUCUUUUAUUCAUAGCAAUGAAGUUAUUGCCAAUUUUGCCAAUUUGUAAUGAUUUAGUGUAAAUCAUAGGUAUAGAGACGUCUGGGUGGCUCAGUCAGUUAAGUGUCCGACUUUGGCUCAGGUUCAUGGGUUCAAGCCCUGCUUGGGGCUCUGUGCUCACAGCUCAGAGCCUGGAGCCUGCUUCGGAUUCUGUGUCCCCCUCUCUCUCUCUGCCCCUCCCCCACUCCCACCCCUCUCAAAAAAAAAAUAAACAUUAAACAUUUUAAAAAGAUCAUAUUUAUAAACGAUACAUUUGUCAAAUAUCAUUGGAUUAAUAUCAAUAAGAAAAUCCCCAAAAGAAAAUAUCAGCAAACAGAAAGCAACAGGGCAUUGAAGAUGAUCAAUCAUGACUCAAGUGCAGCUUAAUGGCUGAGUAUUAGAAAAUCAGUGAAUACAAUUCCCCAUUUUAAUAGAUCUAAAAAGCAAUUUGAUUAUGGUUGCUGAAAAGUCCUCUGACAAAAUUUAACACUCAUUCCUGAUUUAAAAAAAGAAAGUUGGGGCUCAGGUCACGAUCUUGUGGUUGGUGGGUUCAAGCCCCACAUCGGGCUGUCUGCUGUCAGCACAGAGCACACUUCAGAUUCUCUGUCCCUCUCUCUCUCUCUCUC